rnacentral:tRNA from 1 species
GACACUAUAGCCAAGUGGUUAAGGCGACAGAUUAGAAUUGCUUGUUUAUCUGUUUCUCUAUGAGAGCGUAGGUUCGAACCCUACUGGUGUCG